rnacentral:rRNA from 1 species
UACAGAGGUCUCAAGCGUUGUUCGGAUUCAUUGGGCGUAAAGGGUGCGUAGGCGGCGCGGUAAGUCGGGUGUGAAAUCUUGGAGCUUAACUCCGAAACUGCAUUCGAUACUGCCGUGCUUGAGGACUGGAGAGGAGACUGGAAUUUACGGUGUAGCGGUGAAAUGCGUAGAUAUCGUAAGGAAGACCAGUGGCGAAGGCGGGUCUCUGGGCAGUAACUGACGCUGAGGAGCGAAAGCGUGGGGAGCGAACAGG